AACGAACGCUGGCGGCAUGCCUAACACAUGCAAGUCGCACGAGAAAGUCUUCGGACGAGUAGAGUGGCGCACGGGUGAGUAAUACAUGGGAACGUGCCUCUGAAUGGGGGAUAACUACGGGAAACUGUAGCUAAUACCGCAUAGUAACGUAAGUUUAAAGCUGGCCCCUAUUUAUAAGCUAGUGUUCAGAGAUCGGCCCAUGUCCCAUUAGCUAGUUGGCGGGGUAAAAGCCCACCAAGGCAACGAUGGGUAGCUGGUCUGAGAGGACGAUCAGCCACACUGGAACGUAGACACGGUCCAGACUCCUACGGGAGGCAGCAGUGGGGAAUUUUGCACAAUGGGGGAAACCCUGAUGCAGCAAUGCCGCGUGAGUGAAGAAGGCCCUUGGGUCGUAAAGCUCUUUCGGCUGAGAAGAAGGGCAGUAUGGCUAAUAUCCAUAUUGUUUGACGGUAUCAGAAGAAGAAGCACCUGCUAACUUCGUGCCAGCCGCCGCGGUAA
rnacentral:rRNA from 1 species